rnacentral:rRNA from 1 species
GAUCAUGGCUCAGGAUGAGCGCUAGCGGCAGGCUUAACACAUGCAAGCCGAGGGGCAGCAUAAUGGUAGUAAUACUAUUGAUGGCGACCGGCGGACGGGUGCGUAACGCGUAUGCAACCUACCCUUUACAGGGGGAUAACACUGAGAAAUCGGUACUAAUACCCCAUAAUAUUCUGGGAGGCAUCUUUCGGAGUUGAAAGCUUUGGUGGUAAAGGAUGGGCAUGCGUUGUAUUAGCUAGUUGG